rnacentral:rRNA from 1 species
UAAUACAUGCAAGUCGAGGGGCAGCAUGUCCCGCAGCAAUGCGGGAUGAUGGCGACCGGCAAACGGGUGCGGAACACGUACACAACCUUCCUUUAAGCGGGGAAUAGCCCGGGGAAACCCGGAUUAAUACCCCAUAGUAUGGUGAAGAGGCAUCUCUUUACUCUUAAAGAUUUAUCACUUAAAGAUGGGUGUGCGGCUGAUUAGCUAGUUGGCGGGGUAACGGCCCACCAAGGCAACGAUCAGUAACUGGUGUGAGAGCACGACCAGUCACACGGGCACUGAGACACGGGCCCGACUCCUACGGGAGGCAGCAGUAAGGAAUAUUGGACAAUGGACGAAAGUCUGAACCAGCCAUGCCGCGUGGAGGAUGAAGGUCCUCUGGAUUGUAAACUUCUUUUAUCUGGGACGAAAAAAGGUUUUUCUAGACCGACUGACGGUACCAGAUGAAUAAGCACCGGCUAACUCCGUGCCAGCAGCCGCGGUAAUACGGAGGGUGCAAGCGUUAUCCGGAUUCACUGGGUUUAAAGGGUGCGUAGGUGGAUUGGUAAGUCA